rnacentral:lncRNA from 1 species
AUUAAGAUUGUAAUCCUUUUGUGUACCUCCUCUCGGGGGGGUCAUAUGUGUUAAAGAUUAAUCUUGUAUGUUGUGGUUGUAAUGUCAUUGUGUGUCUCAUGUUUCAUCUAAGUUUUUCUUCCACAUUAUCGUGGUCGUUUUCUUCUCUCUAGUUGGUUGACUGUUGAACUCUCCCUCAGUGAGAAAACCCAUUGAUUCAAAGGCGGGAAAAGAAGCAUCCUCUGGUGUAAUGGAUAGAAGGGUAAGACCCGUGCCCCUCGUGCUUCUUCUCAGGCUUCCUCAUCAGAUUGCAGGCACCAUCAUGUGCUUCUUCUUAGGCUUCCUCAUCAGAUUGCAGGCACCAUCCUGUGCUUCUUCUCAGGCUUCCUAAGUGGAGAGACGAGGCUUUGGAGCUGGUUCUUUUUUUGCCAAAGAGAUCAUCUUAAGUAGAGAGAGAAAAUACUUUCUCCACUUUUUCAAUAAGGCAGGUACAUAGCUUGUUCUUUCUCUGUGGUUUCAUAGGCUUUGAUAGUGGUUUUCAGGGACUUGCAAGGUGCUUUGUCGGUCGGUUUUUCAAGGAUUGAUGUGGGGGUUUUGAUAGUAAUUUUUCGGUGAUUAUUUAUAGGUUUGAUGGCCGUUCUCAAAUGAUUUUGUGAGGGUUUUAUGGUGGUUUUUUGAGACUUUUUUGAGGUUUUAUGGUGGUUUUUUGAGACUUUUUUGAAUGUUUUAUGUUGGUUUUCUAGAGAUUUUUUUGGGUUCUUAUAGUGAUUUUAUAUGGAAAAGGGGUUUUCUCUAGGAUUUCUUCUAUCUAGAAGGGGCUUUUCGGUGCUUCUCUCAAAGGAGUCACUAGAGGGCCUUUUGGGUGAGGUUGUCGGUUAGUAAAAGUUUUCUUGGGCUCUACAGAGGUUUUCAUGGGGGCCAUCUCUUCAUGUUAUUUCUUGGUUAUUUCUACUUAUUUUAUGCCUUGGAUUCUUAGGUAAAUUGCAAAAAAUAAAAUAAAAUUUCCUGCAAGAAAAGUUGAACGCAGAUUAUUUUUUUUAAUGGGACGGGCAGGACAAAUAAGCCUAAUGGGCUUUUCUGUGAGGGCUGGCAAAAAAUAAUUUGCAAAAUUUGUUUUCCCUACCAGAAAAGUUGAUUUUUUGUAAAAAAAAAAAAAACGAGACCCAAUAUUCCUAAUGGGCUGGGCCGAUCUUUCAGUAAAGUUCCAGGCCUUUACGGGCGGGCUUUACUGGCAUAGUUUCUCUUCCGGGCCUCCUCUCUUCCGGUCCGGCAUUCCGGCCUCUCCGUCCCGGGCCGUGCCAGCACUAUAUGUAAAUCACUCCCGUAAUUAUCCAUCCCAUCGCAGCACGCCCUUCAUUUAUCGUUUCUUUAUAAAUAUGACGCAGUGAAUUAAGAGGGAGAAGAAUCGAGAGAGUUGCUAGAGAGAGGGGAGGAAAGGUUCUUCUUUAGAGAGAGAAAGGGAGUUUCCUUAGAGAGAGAAAGAAGAUGAUCGAGGCAUUUGUGAGCGAUGGUUUGCGAAACAAGGCAACGAAGAUGACACAAUUUGGUAUAACACCUGCCCAAAUUCGCAUUCAGAAAUGGUUUCAUAUUUACCCGGGCCAUAAAACCCUAAAGGUCUGCGGGAUUCUCAGUGAAAUGCGCCAUGAAGUUUACUACAACUGAUUUGGUAUUCUUCUCUCUCUCUCUAAACAUCUUUUUAGGGUUUGGAAUGGGUCAAUCUUUUUCCCUAGCAUAAUUUUUUUUUAAUGAGAUUUGAAAUGUUCCAUGGCAAUUGGGGCCAGGAGAUUUAGUGUUUUGUGAGGGAUUGUUGUGAAUCUACUUUUUUCUACUGAUGGGGUUUGGGAGGUGAUUGAUAUGGUUAAUGAGUGAAAAGCAUUGUUUUAAAAAAAGUCCCGUUCAACUCGAGAACCGGCACAGCCCGUGCCAGUUCCAGCACAAAAUCGAGAACUGUUCGGUUCUAGAGUAGAACCGUCGGUUUCUAUCUGGUUCUAUCCGGUUCAGUCCGGGUUCACGGUUUCCAUCUGGUUCUAUCCGGUUCAGUCCGGGUUUACACACGUAACGCAUGACACGUACGUACAAGCGUGCCCCAUACACACUUACACCCGUACACGUGUGUCCAAGAGCACGUGCGAACGUGCCCCACGCACACUCACACAUGUGUCCAAGCGCGCAUGUGCAAGCAUGCCUCCACGCACACUCACGCGUGCACAUGUGUGUCCAAGCGCACGUGCGAGCAUGCCCCCACGCACACUCACGCGUGCACACGUGUAUCCAAGCGCAUGUGCGAGCAUGCCCCAUGCACACUCACGUGUGCACACGUGUAUCCAAGCGCACGUGUGAGGUGGUCUUAAUAUUUUUGUACACAUAUUAUAAUUCAUAUUACAUAAGUAUUUAUAUACCAAAGUUGAAUAUCCAUUUUUCGAUGUAGGAUUAUUCUCAAAUAUCAUGAAAACGAAAUGUAAAUAUAGUCUAUUAAUCAGUAAUUUAUAAUCGCAUGUAGUUAGAUGGCUUGGUGGUUAUGACUUUUGUUUUUUUACUUGAUGUUCUAAGGUCGAAUCCCCUUGGGCAUGUGUUGCAUUCGAAUCCCCUUUGGUAUGUGUUGCAUUUUUUAAUUUGUUAUUAUUUGUCUAAUAAAAUAAUUAUAAAAUGUAAGCUAAUAAUUAUAAUUUCAGUAUAUAAUAUUAUAAUUAGUGAGUUUGUAAUAAUUUUGGAUUAUAGUUAGUUAGGCUGUAAUAGUUUGGGUUUUUUUAACGGAUUAGGGUUUUUCACCAAAACGAGAUUUUAAUGGCCAUUCUUUCAUUGAUUAGUCUACUCUUUAUAAUAGUCCAUAUAUAAUUAUAUAUUUUAUCCAUGAUAAUUCUAUGAUUUUUCUUUUAUGUGAUGCAAAUUUAAUAGUUAAAAUAAGUUUAUACAGGGAAAGAGCAUCUCAAUAUUCACAAAUUGAUAAAAAAAUGAAAGUUAAGAAUGUAGUACCCUGAUUUUUUAUUGGAUUCCUAAAAAACAACAUUUAUAAUGAAUUUUAAUAAUUUUUUCGGAUUUUUUUGAAGCUUUAAUUCCACCGAUUCAGCCGAUUCCUGAUCCGGAUCAUCGAUUCGCCCAUCCGAAUCGGUUUUUGAGGUGCCCGAUCCGGAUCGCCGAUUCGCCCAUCCGGAUCAGUUUUUGAGGUGCCCGAUCCGGGUCACCGAUUCGCUUUUUAAACCAUUAGUGAAAAGUAUAAACAUAUAUAAAAAAAAUAAAAUGAUUAAAAUAUUUUUGAAAGAUACAAGAUACUUUGGUCAUUAUAUUUUAUAAAAAAAUUAUUUUUAAUAUUGUUUUUUAGGUACGCCUCAAUGAGAAAAAUACAAGUACCAAAUUUCAUAUUCAUACAAUUUGUAUAAAAUAUUAAAAAUAAAAUAAGAUCUAAGAUAACGAAAGUGAGUGACUCGCUUNNNNNNNNNNNNNNNNNNNNNNNNNNNNNNNNNNNNNNNNNNNNNNNNNNNNNNNNNNNNNNNNNNNNNNNNNNNNNNNNNNNNNNNNNNNNNNNNNNNNNNNNNNNNNNNNNNNNNNNNNNNNNNNNNNNNNNNNNNNNNNNNNNNNNNNNNNNNNNNNNNNNNNNNNNNNNNNNNNNNNNNNNNNNNNNNNNNNNNNNNNNNNNNNNNNNNNNNNNNNNNNNNNNNNNNNNNNNNNNNNNNNNNNNNNNNNNNNNNNNNNNNNNNNNNNNNNNNNNNNNNNNNNNNNNNNNNNNNNNNNNNNNNNNNNNNNNNNNNNNNNNNNNNNNNNNNNNNNNNNNNNNNNNNNNNNNNNNNNNNNNNNNNNNNNNNNNNNNNNNNNNNNNNNNNNNNNNNNNNNNNNNNNNNNNNNNNNNNNNNNNNNNNNNNNNNNNNNNNNNNNNNNNNNNNNNNNNNNNNNNNNNNNNNNNNNNNNNNNNNNNNNNNNNNNNNNNNNNNNNNNNNNNNNNNNNNNNNNNNNNNNNNNNNNNNNNNNNNNNNNNNNNNNNNNNNNNNNNNNNNNNNNNNNNNNNNNNNNNNNNNNNNNNNNNNNNNNNNNNNNNNNNNNNNNNNNNNNNNNNNNNNNNNNNNNNNNNNNNNNNNNNNNNNNNNNNNNNNNNNNNNNNNNNNNNNNNNNNNNNNNUGAGCCCACUAGCUCACAGGAAAAAAAUGAGCUCAAUUGUUCAGAUUGAUCUGGGCUGAUCUUACGAUCACGAAUGUCCAGUAGUGUUUGAAUUUUAAUUUUAAUUUUUUACAAAUCCAAAUCACUUGAAGUUUGGAGUAUGUGUACAUCAAAAAUAUGUGAAUCUUCAAAAAAUAUCAAAAAAAUAUUUUACGUGAAAUAAAUUAACCAAAAUACCCCCGAAACGUUUCGAGGGUAUUUUGGUCAAUUUUUUUUACGAAUUAUUAUUUUUAUAUAUUUUUAUUAGUGCGGUUUCAUGAAAAGAACACACACUUAAAAUUUCAAGUGAUUUGGAUUUGUAAAAAAAGAAAAUUAAAAUUAAAAAACUACAGGACAUCCGUGUUUGUCAGAUUGGCCCAAAUUCAAUCUGGGUUGUUGGGCUCAUUUUUUCUUGUGAGCUAGUGGGCUCACCCAAGCUUUUUUCCAUAUCUAUAUAUAUAUAAGCAAUGAUCCUAUGCAACGGUUGUAUCAUAGUAUAAUGCAACAACACUUCUAGAAAACCAUAUUAGUGGUAUUUGUAUGACCCCAAAAUUUGCACACAUAAUCUUCUCAUCUCAAUAAUCAAUCUACCAAAAAAAAAAAAGUUAAAUUUGAACCCUAAAUAUGGUCAAAAUGAGUCAUCUCCAUAAACGAAUCUAGACUAUUCAUUUUGUGAAUUUCAAGAUCUUAGCCUUUAUAAACUCAAAAUCAUUUUUUUUAUUUUUUAACAUUGUUCAUCUAAUCAUAAUAAAGCCAUCCAAAAAAAUCGGAAAUAAAAAAAUCCCUCUAAAGCCUAGAUCUACGCAUCUCACCAAAAUGAACAGCCUAUGUUAAUUAUGCUAAAAAAAUACUUUCUAGGUUGUGUUUUCAAUUUUUUCUUUUUUUGUGAUUGUUCAUUAGAAUGAAAAGAGUAUAUAUUUCAAAAUUUGGAUCAAACAAAUGGCCAUAAAAUAAUUUUUUAACCUUGUUGCAUCAUAUUACUAUAUAACGAUUGCAUGAUAUCAUUGUUAUAUAUAUAUAUAUGGUUAAUCUAAACUUCACAGCGCUUCAAAUUACAAAGGUUUAAGAUAAAAAGAGUUGUGAAAGGUGGGUUUAUUAAUUUUGUUGUCUAUUUUUUUAAAAGAGUUACUUUUGUGGGGGCAAUUUUGUAAAUAUUACUACAAGACAAAAAAUACUUUUGUCAUUUCUAUAAGGGGUAAAAUUGAAAUUUUAACUAAAAGACAAUGACACUCUAUAAAUAAAGUUCUAGGAUAUUGACUUUUAAAAUGUCACUGUACUUUUUAAAAUUUUUAAAAUUUGCUCUUACUUAAUGGUAAAGUUACAUUUUUAAAUAAUUUUAAAUAAAAAAGUAAUGAUUAUUUUGAUACAUACACCCAUCACAAUCUCUUCUAACUUGAACUUUUGUAUUUUGAGGGGUUGUUAACUCUAGACAAACCCUAUGUGAACAUAUGAGCCCAACGGUCCAGAUUGAAUCUGGGCUAAUCUGGCGAUCACGGAUGUUCGAUAGUAUUUGAAUUUUAUUUUAUUUUCUACAAAUCUAAAUCUACAAAUCUAAAUCACUUGAAAUUUUAGGCGUAUGUUCAUAAAAAAUAAGUGAAUCUUCGAAAAAUAUCAAAAAAAUAUUUUACAUGAAAUAAAUUGAGCAAAAUACCCCCGAAAGAUUCGAGGGGUAUUUUGAUAGGUGUGUCUUAAUGAGAAGAACACACACUUAAAAUUUCACGUGAUUUGGAUUUGUAGAAAAAAAAAUUAAAAUUCAAGCACUACCGGACAACUGUGAUCGUCAGAUCGGCCUAAAUUCAAUCUGAGCCGUUGGGCUCAUAUGUUCAUGUGAGCUAGUGGGCUAACCCUAGCUUUUUCAUAUAUAUAUAUAUAUAUAUAUAUAUAUAUAUAUAUAUAUAUAUAUUAUUACUAUAGAAGNNNCACACCACAUGUGAGAGCGCGUNNNNNNNNNNNNNNNNNNNNNNNNNNNNNNNNNNNNNNNNNNNNNNNNNNNNNNNNNNNNNNNNNNNNNNNNNNNNNNNNNNNNNNNNNNNNNNGUACGUACCGUAACGUUAACUACUACUCGUACGCGUCGGUCGUACGUACUAGUCGUAUGUGUAGUACGUACGUGGUCGUACUACGUACUUAUAUAUAUAUAUAUAUAUAUAUAUAUAUAUAUAUAUAUAUAUAUAUAUAUUUACAUAGAAAGCUGCACAACUCCAUGGUGAUGAGCUUGGUCUGAUCAGCUUUUUAGUUUGGAGGUCAGUAAUUUCUUUUCUACACAGUUCAAGUAGAGUAGUAUUCAUUUGAAUUGGUCUUGCUUUAGUAGGAAUUUGUUUUUCAUCAAAUCCAGGUUCAUAUGAGAUAUUAAUAUUAUGUUUCUUUCUUUCCCAGAAAGCAUUGGGAUGUUCACUACAGAUAGAGCUUUCUAUCUGUCGUUGAAGUUGUUGGAUUUUUUGUAGUACCAAGGGAUUUUGUAAUUGUUCUUCUACAUGUUUAUAUUUAAUUUCUUGUUUUAAAGUACAGAGAAAUUUUUCUUUAUUUUGUAAUUGGCUUUUAACACUAUUUAUUUCUUUGAGUUUUGGUUUGUGAAUAAAUUCAAAGUGUAUGGGUACAUUUUGAUAAUUAGAUGAUAUUCCUGUAUGGUCUAUGGAUAACAGAUAUAAUAAUGUAAGGAAUGAGACUCCAAGGAUGACUGCUUGGCUUAGUCCUUUUACCAUGAUAAAUGGUGUUUGGAUACACUGGUAAUUAUUACAAACAGAAGCAUUUGAUAAUUUAUAAUUUAUAAAUAGUCUACUGCCAUCUGCAGUAUUUAGGAUUUGUGUUGUUUUAUCAAAAUUUAUUAUUGGUAUCAACCUUCAUUGAUACAGUUUAAAUCAGCACCUGAAUUGAUUAAGGCUGAUGUUUGAAACCUGUAGUCUUCUGCGACUAUGAUGGUUACUUGAACAAACCAUUUUUGUAUUAUAAUUUUAUUCAACAGGUUAAUUGAAGAACGUUUAGUUAUCAGAAGUGGUUUAGUGUUUGACGUUUCUGGAGCAUCUCCGGGUGGAUCAGGACUGUAUGUAGUAACUAAAUGAUUAAAUUCUACUCCAUCUGUAUCUGAAUUUUGAUUUGAUAAAUUCUAAAACUCUAAAAUUUUAAUCCUAUUUUUUAGUUGAUGAACUUAUUUCUUUAAUUCAUUUAUCUCUUGUUUUAGGUCUGAGAUAGAAGGUUCUUUUUGUUUAGUGAGAUGCUGUUCACUAACUCUUUUUAUAAUAGAGCCAAAAUUAUAUUCAUCCGGUGUUUUACUGAUAGGAGGUGUUUUUGCUUUUGUUUUAGCUAAAUUGAUAAAUUUUGUGAUCACAUAUCUUUUUUCAUCUGGAUCUGUAAUUUUUUCUAUGAGAUCUAGAAUCAAAUUAUCUUCUUGUGUUAAAGUAUGAAGAUUAUGUGAGGGGAUAGGACAAGCACAAGUAGAUUCUUCCAUUGGAUGAGGUGAUUCUGUAUUAGUAGAAGAAUAUGAAGAAUCUGAUGACUCUGCCCAUAUGAAAUCUUCAUCUUGGAUAUUUCCUAUGAGUGAUUAAGUAGAAUCUGUACUUGAGGAAGAUGUAUCGUAAUUGAUAAUAUUAUAUAAUUUUGAUUUCAAUGAUUCAUCUAGUUGUAAUGUAUCGAUUUUCUCUUUUAAUUUACAUUGGUGUUUAUAGUGACCAAGUUUUGCACAUUUAUAACAGAUUGGUAUUUUCUUUUUAUGUUUACUAUUGAGAGAAAACUUCUUUUAUAAAUUUUUGUUUAGACUUUUUAUGUACUUUAUCAGUCUUAUAUUUUUUUUUCUUAUAUUUUUUCUUUUUCUUAUAUAGUUUUUCAGGUUUAUUUUUCCUAUCUAUAUGAUAACCAAAUUGUUCACAAAAAUCACCAAGUUCUUUGCGCUUAGUAAUUUGUUGUUUAUCAAGUUGUCUUUUGAGUUUAAGAUCAGUACAUAAAGCUAAUCCUUCAGUACAUAUUUCUGCUGAUCAUUCUCCAAGUGUAUAUGCAUAAUAUAUAAUAACUCCAUUAUGUUUUUUCCUAAGUCUUUCUUUGACUUUUUUUUCAAAUAAGUAGGGAAGACCAGCUAUAAAUUUUUCUUUCCAAUGGUCUAGUUGGCAAUCUUCUCUUAUUAGUAAUCGUGAAAAAAAAUACAUCCUUACACCACUUAUAAUGAGAGAGGGUAGGACAUUUUAGGUUUGACAGUAGAUCCUCUGAUCGUGCUGCUAAUAAAGCUGUACUACCUACAAAGUGUAAAGUAAUUGUAUAGAUUAAAGUGUUUACUGCAUCACUUUCUGUAUAGAUUAUUUUUUGAUUUUGUUCAUUUCUGGCUAUCCACUGUCUAAUAUUGGUCAGGAUUCUAUUUUUUGUUUCAUCAUCAACAUAGAAAUCCCACCAUCCUCUUAACCAGCCAGUAAAUCCAUUUAUUAUUGCUUUAGCAACCUCUUGAUCUGGAUUGCUGGCCAUUUUAUUUGCUGAGGCAAACAUUGUCAUGUCUCAUGACAUCUAAUAUUUUUAGAUCUGAUAGACCAUCUAUUGUCCAAUUGACAAUUGAUCUUCUUGAAUAGGAAACAGCCUAUUGUAUAGCAUCUUCUUCUAAUUGUACAUCAACAGGUGUAGGUCUCUUAUAGUAUGGUAAAACUGUGAUUGGUUUCCAUGUUUUACCAUAGGCUAUCCUAUUUAGAUAAUUGGUUGAAGUAUCCAUAAAAGCAGAUUCUCUAUUUUGUCUAUAAUUGGUUCCUCUUCUUGGAGCAUUAAAGUCUCAUGCUUAGGAAUCUUCAUUUUACCUUUAUCUGAUGAUUUUGGAAUAUUAGAUAAAGGUAUUAUACUACUAGGUAUUGGUGUAGGAAUACUCAGUUUUGGCGCAGGAAUCCCUUUGAUAUCUAAUUGGGCUAAUUUCGAUAUUAAUUGAUCCAUAAGUGUUUUAUUAUCCUCACCUAAAUGAAAUUUAGUUUUAUUUAGUUCUGGAGGAGGUUUAAAUAAAACAACUUUUGGUAUAGGAGGGCUUACUCCUUUAGGUUGGGGAGUAACUAACCGUUCUAUUCGUUCAGCUUGUUUUCCUAAUGACUGCAUAUAUAAGUUAGUAUAAUUAUUUUGUUCCACAAUAUGCGGGAUUAAUUCAUGUUUUUUGCCCAUAUCCUUAGGUACAACCUUAUAAGGUGUUGCAAUAAUAUCAUAUAGGGAUUGUGGUGGUUCACAUUUUUCAAGUGGACUUUUUGCACCGUUUAAGAUAAUACUUCUCUCAGGUGGAUGUGUACUAGAAGUACUAGUUCCGUCUAUACUGAUAUAAGUUUUUUCUUCAAUUGUUUGAAUAUUAAACUGGGGAAUUUGAAUAUUAUAUUGAGCACAACUUUCUUGUAACCAGAUAAAGAAUCCUUUUGUUUCUCUCUUUUUUUUUAGAAAUUUCUUGUAUUUUUUAUGAAAUAAUUCUAUUAAUCUGGGUUGAAAUGCUUGUAGAUACCAUUCUCUAAUACCUUGGUUUUCAGGGGCUAAAUAAUCCUGUUUAUUAUAUUCAAUAUUUACUUUUUUCUGUUUUCUUUGUAUUUUAUAUGCUAGAUAUUCUUCUAUGUCUAUAUCUUCUUCGACUUGCAAAGUUAGUAUUUGAAAAUCUGCUAUGUUAGGGUCAAAUGUAUAAGUGGGUAUUACUACACGAUCAGCUGUCUGUUUUACUCAUUGUAUUUGUAAGUCUGAAGAUGUUGUAGGUAUUGAUGGAGAAGGAAGGGUUAUAACUUCUGGGGUUGUAUGACAAGAUUUUCUUGUAGGAAUUAAUGGCUUCCGAAUCCUUUUCCUAUUUAUGUCUAAGUCAUUUUUUUGAAAUUUUAUUUCAAUAUUGCCAUCCUGAUGUUCUAUUAUUUGGCUGAGAAUAUUAUUAUUAAGUAUUUCUCUUGGUUGGUUUUCAUUUUGGAUAGACCAUGUUUGUGGUAGAAUAAUAUCUGACCGAGUAAUAGUUUUUGGAAUAAUAGUAUUAGAUUUUUCUAUAUUGGUUUGAAAUAAAAUAAUUUAAUCAUUCUUAUUAGUUUGCAUCAUAAUAUUGGGACAGAGGGUAUUCAUAACUUUAUAAUAUAUAUACGGUAUACGAUAGCUAGAUUUUGAGAUCCAGGAGUCAUAUUGAAUCCAUGGGUCUUAAGGUUUAUUGUUAAUAUUUUCAAUAUAUUAGGGUUUGUUAAUGAAACAAAAAAAUUUGGAAAACAGUUGAAAUAAAUGGGUCCAGUACAAAGGCUGGAUUCAACCAUGCCUAGGAGUGAGUCUGAAAACUUAUCGUGCCUCGUAUCUCUUAGACAUACGAGCACUGAGUUGUUUAAACCUAAACGUGUUAAAGGUUUUAUAGCUAUUUGUAUUAAUCCAAUGUGUAAAUACUUAUAAUUAUUUUCUUUAUGUUUUUCAAUUAUUUUUCUGGAUAACAGUUGGAAGUCUUCAUUGUUUUGUUUCACUGAUAGGCUUUCCUCAACUGUUUUAAUAACAUAUCCAAGUUUGAAUUUAAAUGUUCCUUUUUGAUAAAUAUCUUUUAUCGGUACUUUGGGGAUAUUCCAGUUUUGUAUAUGAUCUUCAAUAUCAUUUAUGACUAUCUCUUCCUCAUUUUUCACUCUUAAGGUUUGAAGUUGAGUUACUGUGUUACCUUUAAGAUUCCUAAUUAAUUUUGCCAUCUGUAGGUUGCGGAUAAUGACAAUCUGGACGAUCAAGGGUCCAGCGUGUUCCCCUAAGCGGCUCUUCUUAGCCUUGGCGGGUACUUUGCCUAGACUUCUUUCGUCUCUUGCCUUAACUCUCGGAUCAACUUUCGUAGAUAUAAAUUUAGCUAGGUUUCUACAGUAAUAUGGUAACUUAGACUCUUAAACAGUUUCACUGUUUGGCUCUGAUACCAAAUGGGGCUAGGAUCUACAGUGAAUUCUUUUGAUAAUAUUUAGAGUAGGUAUGUGAAUACUAAGUUAUUAUACUUUACUAGUUCUUGUAAAAUACGAUAAUAGUUUAAACAGAAGAGUAAUAUGCAAAUGAAUGGAAUGAGAGAUAUAUCAAUAACAAUCCACUGUGUGUGAAUGUGAUUACCGAUUUUAAUGCUAAAUACUAUUUUGAAUUGCAUAAUCUAGGUUUAUACAGACGUUUAUAUCAUCAAAGUUUAUAUCAUCAAACCAUAAUACAGAAGUUUCUUACAGACAAACUGUAAAAGCAAUCUUACAAACAAAAAUUGUAAAAGCAAACUUACAUACCAAAACUGUAAAAGCAAACUUACUAAUGCAAUCUUACAAACAAACUAACACUUAACUGGAAAAGAGUUUCCAGUGCUGAGGACAGUACGAAGGAAGUGAAGGAAAAUUGUAAUUGCACAUACUGGAAAUAUAAGAAGAAAGGAGAAGAUAGAACCUGGGAUUUAGAGUAAAAUAUGAGACCUGGAGAACAUGAGCUAUGAUGUCAGGAUAGCUGUUGCAGUAGAUGGAGCUUAAAGAUGAGCAGUAAGAAAGAAGGCAGAGUGGCAGAGCAGAGUCUGGGAGAGAGAGAGAGCAGAGCAGAGUCUGGGAGAGAGAGAGCAGAGCAGAGUCUAAGAGAGAGAAAGUAGAGCAGAGAAGAGAAGCUCCUGGACGACCUGUGGGUUUGGAGGCAGACGGUUGCCUUUUAUGAGCGAAGGGAGGUGCCUUCGUCUCGUAGGUAAAGCAUAAAGCAAGGAGAGAAAAGACAGGUGCCUUCGUCUCGAAGGCAAAGCAAAAGAAAAAGACAAAAGCAAAAAGACAAAGGCAUAUUCUUUUGAUCGGGAGUGAGAACAAAAUGGCAUCUGAGAAUAGUAUCUCUUUUGUCGUCACAUGUCGGUACCUUUGUCGUUUACUGUAGCUACAGUUGCUUGUUUGUCUUAUAUCGCAGUGGGAACAGUGGAUUGUCGGUGGAAUAUUUGUCUUUUUUGUUGGUGAUGUCGGUGAGCAUAUUCUUGGGCAUCGUGCAGCAUAGUAUCAGGGUCUUUGGUUGCAUUCGUCUGGAUCAUCCUAUUCUUCUUCGAGAUCAGUUUCUUCCAGUGGGAAGUAUUUAUUGGUACGGUCUGGUGAUGAUUGUACGGUCUCUUCUGAUGAGACUUGCUUUCUUCCGGCUUCUGUAAAAAUUUCCCUCAUUUGUUGUCCAAGGGUCUCUUUGGUAGCAUUAGGGUUUGCUUGCAACAUGUUGCUCAAGUAUGUGGGAAAAUCAAAGGAGGUAUUGGCAGUAUUAUAUCCUGUUGGAUUGGGAUUGUGUAUAGGUUUUUGUGGAGGAAUUUUUUUGGAACUAUGGUUGUGAGGUCCAUAUUGAAGAUGUCCCACCAUUUAAUGAAAAUGGUUUUGCCAAGUUUAGGAAUAUAAGUAUGGUCAGCUGUAUUAUUCACAGAGCUCGAAUAUUCCCAUUUCAUAAUCCAUGGGAGUUGGUAUAAUGCAACAAAGUAAAGGUGAGGGUCUUUAGUAAUAUCAACAUUGUUAAAGAUAGCAAACUGCUCCUGGGCUUUUUGAAACGCAGGAGGUAAAAUCUCAGUGGUUGAUCCCCAUAUUAAAAACCAGUUUUUAAACCAACUUGAGAAUCUUUCGAAAAUUGGUAACCUAAAUUGAAUAUACCAGCUAUUAGAAUGAUUUGGGUUUUGAUAGGAAAAUACUUUAUGUCAUGCUUCUAUGUAUUCGGCAUAUUUAUAAUAUUUAUAAGAAAAAUUAGUAUUAUUUAACUUUUUUCCUUGGGUGGGAUUGCAACCCCACUCCUCAUAAGAAACCAACUUCUUAAUUUGCAUUUUGGAGUAUGCAAUCACUCUUGUAUUCAGUUGGUAAUAAUGGACAACAGAGAUGGACCCUGUUUCCAUAAGAAUUGCCUCAUAGUAUUCACGGGUUUUGACUCCAUUGGUAGGAUUCAAAUGGUUUAUGAGAUAUAAGGGAGCAAGUUUAACUGGAUCCAUAUUGGUAUGGUGAUCUUCUAUGGUAAUGUCUAUGAGAAAUGCUCUUUCGAUAAAUGAAGAUCGGGGAAUAUUAGGCCUUUGAGUCGGCCGUGAUUGAGCAGGAGUAAAGGCUGGAGUGGACGUAUUAACUUUUGGAUAGAUGAUUUGGUGAAUGGGUGAAAUGGAAGGUGAAAGGGUGGCCAAAGGCGGAUUUUCACCUUCAAUAGGUAUUAUUGCCAGUGGGCGUUUCUCAUUGCGAGAAGAGUUGCUACGAGUGCCCAUAAGAGUAGGUGGAUUGGACAAAGUAUUAUGUUUAUUAGCUGCAAAGAGCUGUAGUGCAAGUGAGAGUGGUGUUUCUUCGUCGUUGGCGUCAGUGUGGCCCCCCUGCAAUAAUUCACGGGUUAAAAAAUCAAGAAGGGAAUUGGCAGAACCGUGAAGGUGAUCAAUAGUAAAAUCAAAGGCAGAAAGAAUUGCCUGCCAGCGAGCAAAUAUUUGUUUAGAAAUAAGAUUUUGAACAUCUUUUUGCAGAAUAUCUUUAGCAGCUUUGCAAUCAGUGCGUAUGAGAAAAUAUUGAUUGAGAAUAUCACUUUGAAAUUUUGUGACACAGUGGACAAUAGUAAGUAAUUCUUUUUUUACCGUGGAAUAAUUUUGUUGGGUUGGAUUCCAGGCUUUAGAAGUAUACCUGAGUAGUUGAUCCUGACUAUCCACUUGUUGUUUUAGGAUUCAUCUUAAACCCAACUCUGAAGCAUCGCAUUUAAUAAUUUUAAAAGCAUUAGGCUAAGGAAGAGAAAGACAAGGGAGAGUUUUGACUUUCUGUUUAAUUAUUCGUACUGCGUUGGUAUGAAUAUCUGUCCAUGGUGGGGGAUUCUUUUUUAAUCUAUCAUGUAGAGGUCGUCCAAGAGCUUCUCUUCUCUGCUCUGCUCUCUCUCUCCUAGACUCUGCUCUGCUCUCUCUCUCAGACUCUACUCUGCCACUCUGCCUUCUUUCUGACUGCUCAUCUUUAAGCUCCAUCUACUACAACAGCUAUCCUGACCUCAUAGCUCAUGUUCUCCAGGUCUCAUAUUUUACUCUAAAUCCUAGGUUCUAUCUUCUCCUUUCUUCUUAUCUUUCCAGUAUGUGCGAUUGCAAUUUUCCUUCACUUCCAUUGUACUGUCCUCAGCACUGGAAACUCUUUUCCAGUUAUUGUAUUUGUAAAUUGUAAGUUUGCUUUUAAAGUGUUAGUUUGUUUGUAAGAUUGCGUCUGUAUGUUCGCUUUUACAGUUUUUGUAUGUAAGUUUGCUUUUAUAGUUUUUGUUUGUAAGAUUGCUUUUACAGUUUGUCUGUAAGAAACUUCUGUAUUAUGGUUUGAUGAUAUAAACUUUGAUGAUAUAAACGUUUGUAUAAACCUAGAUUAUGCAAUUCAAAAUAGUAUUUAGCAUUAAAAUCGAUAAUCACAUUCACACACAGUGGAUUGUUAGUGAUAUAUCUCUCAGUCCAUUCAUUUGCAUAUUACUCUUCUGUUUAAACUAUUAUCGUAUUUUACAAGAACUAGUAAAGUGUAAUAGCUUAUUUUACAAGAACUAGUAAAGUAUAUAUAUAUAUAUAUAUAUAUGGAUAAUCUAAACUUCACAACCUUUCAAAUUACAAAGGUUCAAGAUAGAGAGUUGUGAAGGGUGGAUUUAUUAAUUUUGUAGUCUAUUUUUUUAAAAAAGUUCUUUUAAUGAGGCAAUUUUGUAAAUAUUACUACAUGACAAAGGGUACUUUUGUCAUCUCCAUAAGGGGUAAAAUUGAAAUUUUAACUAAAGGACAAGGGCACCCUGCAAAUAAAGUUCCAAGACACUGAAAUUUUAACUAAAGAAUGAGGGCACCCUACAAAUAAAGUUUCAGGACACUAACUUCCAAAAUGACAUUGUACUUUUGUGAAAAUUUCAAAUUUGUCAUUGCUUAAUGGUAAAGUUACCUAUUUAAAUAGUUUUUUAAUAAAAAAGUAAUAACUAUUUUGAUAANNNNNNNNNNNNNNNNNNNNNNNNNNNNNNNNNNNNCGUACGUAACGUAACGUACGACUAACGUAAUUACGUUACGUUAGUUCGGUACGUCGUACGCAACCACCUACCGUCGUCCGUCCUUCUUAGUUUAGGUUAGAUAUAUAUAUAUAUAUAUAUAUAUAUACUACUUUUAAUCAAAUCAAUUUUAAUUCAUAAAAAAUAUCACCCUAUUUUGUGCUUAGAUUUGUCAAUGUUUUUUUGUAAAGUUUUUAUUUUUACUGUUAUUUUUGGUAAUUCAAUGGAAAAAAUAGUACCUUACUUGUUUUUUCAAAUAGUUUAAAAAAUAGUUUUUUUUUAAGAUAUUAAUAAGAUAGUAUAAGUGGAAAUGAAAAUCACAAUAUAGUACUUUUUAAAAUAAUUUAAAAGUUAUUUUUUUCAAAAAUAAAAACCACACGAUAAUAACUAAAGUGUGACACAAAACUUAGCAUUGAUGCUCUUGUGGUUAACCUUUCUAAGUCUUUUAAAAAACAAACGGUUCAUGUUGAUUGGCAAUGGAGACAAAGAGUUAUACAGUGAGAGGCAGGUGUCUCUUUCUCUUGUGGAUAAUGAUACGAUGAUAGUUAAACAUGAAAUGACAGGGAUGUGAACACUAGGCAGCAAUACAUCACUAUGAAUGAAGGACAGAAGAUUUUAAGAGAUUCGUGGACCCAUGGGUUCACCUAGGUUUCCAAGGGAUCCAGGUCACAUAAAAUUACUGAAAAUACAGUCCAUUGUGCUUUCUUUUGUUUGGACGCUGUUUCUAUGCGGCUAAGCCCGCGUAUGUAGAAAUGUGAUUAUCCUAAUAAAUCUAUUUUUAAGAUGAAUUUUAAGACUUAUAUGUAAUUUUUUAACAUGGAGAUCAGAAAUAUGAAUAAAUAAAUAAAAUUUAAAACUAAAAAUAAUAAUUCUAGAAAAAAUACAUUUGGACUGUUAGUUUUUAUUGUUUUUAGAUGGAACACCUACUUGCAUCUAUCUUUUAAGACGGAUGCUUUACACUUUUUGGACUACAUAUGUAGAAAUACGGUUCAAAAAAGUAAUUCAAAAUACGUAAUUUUUCAAGCCAUCCUAAUAAUUUUAAUACCAAAAUUACUUGUUGUAAUAAAAUUUAGAGGUGCGCCUUAAUUUGAUUUCUUAAGGUUACAACCUGUUGCAAACCACACCCUUACAUAAAAGGUGCAUAAAUACAAUUUUAAAAAUUAUUUUUUUGAAUUUAAAAACCAACUUAUUUCUCCUUAUUUAUGAUCACCAUGUUCAAGAUUAUUGGCUCUUUAAAUUUUGGGUUCCACUUUAUCAAGGAUGAAUUAUAAAGGGAGAGAAAGUAUAUAUAUAUAUAUAUAUUUAUCGGCUGGUAUACCAAAACUCCAAUGAAUUAGAAGAAAACAUAGCACUAUGCCAUAAAAAUAUGAAAAGCUAUAUAAAGAGAUUAUUUACUUUUAACCCAAGAAAAUUAUAAUCACUCUUAUUCUUUAAAUUUCAUAAUGGACGACUGAGUGCGUCAUUAACUAGACUCAAAGUUAAAAAAAAUAAAAAUUUCAAAUUUCGGGAUCCAUCCAAGUUGAUAUCUAAUGACUAAAAGUAAUUGUGACCUUCUUGAUUGAAAGAUAAAUAGUCUUGUAGCAUACGACCCUAGAAAGUAUGCAAUAAGAUCAUGCACGUUUAAUACAAGAAGGUUAUAAUCAUGACAAAUGCAAAAUUUUGGUAUCUCAUGUUAUACUAAUGUCAAGCUAAAAGCCCAAAAAUUUUACUUAUUUGAGAUACAUGCUUAGCUAUUGGAUUUCACAUUUGAUAAUUAAGAAUUUUGUGACCUUAAUAGCAUAGAAACUUGUAGUAUAGGCACUUGAUAAUUAAGAUUUCACAUUUCACAUUUGAUAAUUAAGAUUUUUGUGACCUUAGGAGUUAGGCAUAGAUAUAUUGCCAUUGCUGGAUGCCUGUAACUUCUAAGCAACCCUUUUACAUAAAGAAGAUUUCAAUUUAUCAAAAUACACCUACCUUUUUAAUAUUCAAACUCAUGGUCCUAUGUAUUUCUUAUAGAUAUUAGAAAUUAAAUAAAAAAUGAGUACAAUGUCAAAUAGUUGUUCCCUCGCAUAUAUUGUAAUAAAAUUUUUCCUUAUAAAAUGUAUCAGCACGAGAGAGAGAGAGAUCACGUUCAAAUUGAAUAAUAAUUAUGGGUACAAUUUCAAAUAGUUGUUCCUUCGUUUGUAUUUUGAUAAUUUUUUCCCUUAGUAAUAAAAUGUGUGUUUCCACAAAAGAGGGAGAGAGAUAGACCUAUCUACACAUGGAACAGAAAAUUAGGGCUUUUUAUUACAUUCAUUUGUCUUGGGGCUUUUUAUUACAUUGAACAUAUUCGUCACAUUGAAGAGAAAAUUAGGGCUUUUUAUUAUAUCCUAUUCGAAAUAGAAUUACUGGAUUUUACUAUCCAACAGGGUGGUUCUCUUUCUGAAGAGCAAAAGAUUGAAAGAGAUAGUAAGAUCAAGUCUCUCGGUGAACUCCGUAGGAUUGAGGAGCUAUAUUUGAGACAAAGAUUAAGAAUCAAAUAACUAAAUGAGGGAGAUAGAAACACAAAAUUAUUUCAUGUCAUUGCCAACUCUAGAAAAAGGCAUAAUGAUAUCUCAGAAUUAUCUAUUCAAUGGGUGGAUCAGGAAGAUGGGUUGGUGAUGGGGAAUGCGGUGGUAGCUCACUCUAAGAAAGCCUUUUCUUUUGAAGUUAGAUUGAUAUUUUAGUUUUGGAGACUGGACGAGGCAAGGCGAGGCGAGGUUGGGGCCUUUCUUAUUAUCCAAAUGUCAAGGUAAUAGGCUCGGAUAAGGUGGCUUUCUUGCUGCGUGAGGAAAUGGAGGUUGGCAGAGCUCUGCAUAAUAGGUUCCCAAGGGUGAGGGGUAAAUUGUUCUCUUUGGACCGUAGAUCUCCAAAAGUUCGUAACUCCUUCGCUCAGGAGGAGGUUCAUUGUAUAAAUCUUAUUGGAAUCCCGUUUCAUGCUUGAAGUUUAAUGAUAAUCCAAAAGAUUGCUAACAUUUGUGGUGAUUAAUGUGAUGUAGACUAAGACUCAUUUUUGUGAAAAGAUCGAACUUCUAUUAGACUUAAGAUUUGGUGUAUUAAUGGUCACAAAAUUCCAAAGUUUGUGUAAACUGCAGAUUGGUAAACAGUCUUUCUUAAUCUCUGUAAAGAUUGAAUAAGGUGUUUUAUCUCCAAAGAAGGUGGUAGCUAUUAAUAAGACCAUACUGCUAGGAUCUAAUGAUAGUCCAAAAAGGGGAGAAGAACGGCAUUUGGUCUCUCACAAAAAAUUCCUGCAAUAUUGUCGGAAAGUAGCCUCCCAGCCAUCGGAUUUGAUAAGAAAGGGAAGAUGAAUGGGAAUAACAGAAAUUGGAAACCGUUACAAAAUUUAAAAAAUUUGAAUAUCUGCAAGAGGUGGAUUCCGGUGGAAAGAUUUCCUGAAACGGUCUUGGGAUUUUCGGAUGUGCGUGUGACUUCUAAGAGAGAUCUUUUACCAUCAUCUGAGGUAAGGACACGUGGAGGAGUUGACCUUCCCAUUAUGGUAAAGAACCAUUCCGAUGGUGUUGAUCGUGCGGGCAUUCCUUUAGGUAACUUCAUGAACCUUUCCUUAAGACGUAUGACUGUGGAUGACGGUGCUAAUGAUGGCUUUCCGUGGGAAAAUCCAUCCCCGCCUUACAUGGUAUGUAUGGAGGCAGACGUUUCUGUUAGUGAAUCUUCACCAUAUCCUCCUUUUGGGAGGGGGGAGAAGAAGGGGUUUUUGGGCUAUGUUCUAUGGUUUCUAUUGCUGCAAAGUUUGGUGAUAUCGGCUUCUUUUCGGAGAGGGUGGGGUAAAUUAUGGUGGUGUUGCUUAUGUAUUUCAAGCUCAGGAUGUAUCCACUGUCAGCUAAGGGAGUUGUUAUAAGGGGUCAGGCAAGCCGUCCUCGGGCUCAUUUCGAUCCCCUCUUGUUGGUUCCACUAGCCAUUGUAGUUAUAGACCCUGUUGAAGAGGAAGUUCCUUUGCAGAUUCAUAUGGAUCAAGAGCAACAGGCUCAGGGGAUCGCAGGAGAUGUUAGUGAUUUUGAUCCCACUUCUACGGUAUUGGAGGGUGUUGUUAGGGAGAUUUUGGCUAUGGUGGCCCAGCCGGUACCCUCAAAUCUUUUACUUUCAUAUUUCUCUAUUAAUGAAAGUGACGACUCCAUGGUAGCUGACCACCUGCGCACAGGGGCAAUUCUUUGAACACCUCAAAGAACGAACAUAAGGAAGCAAAGCUUGAGGAGGUGGACAAGUUGGAAAUAAAUAGCGGAAUGGUGACGAAUAUGUUCGAUGAUAUGGGGGCCGAUUUCAAUGUCCCUAUAGCUGUUGUGCUGGAUGAGAUGAAAGUUAAAAAGAGAGAAGAAAAAGCUAAGGCUGCCUUGGAGGUAGCUCAUAAAUGUAAAGUAAAGAUGAAGCAAACCUCAAUUAAGAAUGCCGAGAAGAAGAAGAAAGAAGGAAUAAAGCCAUCAAGGUCCUCUGCGCGUAUUGCAGCAUUAUUUAGAUUCUUUGACGGGUGUCAAUCGUAAGCAAUUCAGAUGGAAGAACCGGAUGUGGUAGAACUCAGUAGUGAGACCACUACUUCUGAAGCCACCAUCUCGAAAGACGAGGAUGCGGCUCUACAUUAAGCUCUUAUACUUGAGGAAGCCUAUUUUGGACCUUAUGUCGAUGGUCUAGGCUCUUCUUCUUGCCCACCCCUUUAAAUGAAUAUAAUUUCUUGGAAUAUUAGGGGUUUGGGAGAUCCUAGGAGAAAAAUGGAUGCCUGGUUUUUUGUAGUUAAAUAUAAACAUGUUGUUUUGAUGCUUCAGGAAACCAAAUUGCCAAGGCGCACUGUUGUAGGCUUCAGGGGUAUUUAGGGUCAUGAAGCGGUUCACUUUGUGGGUGUUGAUUUUAUGGGAGCUUAUGGCAUUCUGUAGAAUUUGUGGGACCCUCAGGUUUUGCAAACUUUAUGUUCCAUUAUUAGGGAUAUAAUUGUGUUAGUAGGUUUUCAUGGUCCGGCAGUUGAUUUUUCUUGGGGUUUGCUAAAUUACUAUAGUCCUAAUUGAAGUUCUUUUAAAGAGUUGUUUAUUAAUCAUCUCUCUGAUGUUUUGAACGGCUGUGUUUAUCCUAUUUGUCUUGAGGGAUUUUAAUUUGUUAUGUUGGCUAGAAGAUAUUUCUUCUGGGACGUCAUUGAAUGAGGUCAUGUGUAUGUUCAAUAACUUUAUUCAGAAUCAUGUUGUGAUGGAUUUACCAAUUGGUGGAACUGUUUAUACAUGGUCGAACAAUAGCACUUCCAUUCUCCGAAUGUCUAAAAUCGAGAGAUUUUUUGUUUCGAGGGAGUGGUUGGAGGCUUUUCUGUUAGCCUCAAUGCGAGCCCUUCCUCGGUUUACUUCGAAUCAUACCCCAUUAUUAUUUUCUAACAAGGUUCUGGCUUUGGGUCCCAUGCCUUUUCAUUUGGAGAUAGGGUGGUUGGAAGAUAGAGAAGUGGUUGACCUUGUCAUGAGUACUUGGAAAAACUCUAUUGUUUUGGGUUCUGUAGACUUUCAGUUACAUAAGAAGCUGAUUAGCAAUAAGCAUAAGCUAAUUGUAUGGAAAAAGGAAAAUAGAUUCUAGGUUCAAUGGAAGAUUAGCAAUAAGCAUAAGCUAAUUGUAUGGAAAAAGGAAAAUAGAUUCUAGGUUCAAUGGAAGAUAGAUGAAAUUCUAUAUGAAAUCGAAUUGUAGGAUUUUACUAUCCAAUAGGGAGGUUCUCUUUCUGAGGAGCAAAAGAUUGAAAGAGAUAGUUAGAUUAAGUCUCACAGUGAAAACUCCAUAGGAUUGAGGAGGUAUAUUGGAGACAAAGAUAAAAAAUCAAAUAGCUAAAGGAGGGAGAUAGAAACAUAAAAUUCUUUUAUGUCAUUGCUAGCUCUAGAAGAAAGCAGAAUGAUAUCUCGAAGUUAUCUAUUCUAAGGGUUGAUCAGGAAGAUGGAUGGCGAUGGGGAAUGCAGUGGUAGGUCACUUUAAAAAAGAUUUUUUUUUUUAAAGUUAGAUUUUUACCCAAGCUAGAUCGAGUGCCUUUCUCUUCACUUUCUCCUCCUGUCAUUGAGAAGUUAGAGAGGGAUCUGACAAUGAAGGAGCUUAAAAGUACAGUUUUUGCGUUGCAGGGGAUAAAGCCCCAAAGAUCAAAUGGUUUCCCUUUGGUCUUCUUCUAAAAAAACACUAUUGCUAAUUUGUUUGACAUUAGACCGAUAAGCUUGCUUACGAGCAUGUACAAAACAGUGGCAAAGGCUUCGGCUGAAAGAUUGAAAGUGGUACUGCCUCAUAUUAUAUGUGGACAACAAUCUACCUUUAUUCGGAAUAGGCUUAUUAUAGAUAGUGCUUUGGUGGCCUAGGAGUGCAUUCACUCUAGGUGCUUAAGUCAGAUACCGGGGGUUAUCAUCAAGCUCGAUAUGGAGAAGGCAUAUGACAUAGUUGAAUGGGGUGUUCUUUUGGAGAUCAUGAGAAGGAUGGGUUUUGGGGAGAGAUGGCGAAAUUGGAUCUUCAGUUGUUUAUCUUCAGCAGACUUCUCAGUGCUACUUAAGGGUAGCCCUACUAGUUUUUUUAAAGCAUCGAGGGGGAUUAAGAUAGGGAUAUCCCUUAUCUCUUUUCUUGUUCAUUCUAUAUGCUGAGUGUUUUAGUUUGAUGGUUAGGAAUGUGGUUGAUUGAGGUAACUUCUCUUGGUUUGAAAUUCAUAGCAAUGGCCUCAAUGUGUCGCAUCUCUAAUAUGCUUAAGAAACUCUCAUUUUCUGUGAGGCAGAGGUGGAGCAGGUCUAGAAUGUUGCUACUUUUUAGAUGUGUUGUAAAGUUGUGAUGGGUCUGAAGGUCAAUCUAAGGAAGACAUCGAUGAUAUAUAUACAUUGUGAUGGGGAAGCCCUCUUGGAUCUGGCAGCGGUUUUUAAUUGUAGAACGCAAUCAUUUCCAAUCACUUAUUUAGGUCUGCCUAUUUCGGAUAGGAGUCUACCCAUCUCGGUAAGGGAUAACGUAUUACAACAAGUUUAAGUAAAGCUGGACUUGUGGAAGUAUAUGUACUUAUCAUCAUGAGGUAGGGUUACCCUUCACAGUCGUGCCUAUCGAACCUUCCUAUUUACCAAAUGUCCAGUUAUCAAAUCCCUACAGUUAUAGCAAAGAAGCUAGAAAAGAUGAUGUGUGACUUCCUGUUGGGAUCUGCUGAAGAUGCUAGAAAGUAUCAUUUAGUUAAAGUGGGGUCAUGUUUGUACACCUAAAAGUGAAGGAGGGUUGGGCUUUCGUAAGUUAAAAUUGAUCAAUCAAGUUCUCUUAUACAAAUGGUGGUGGCGUAACUUCACUUUGACGGACUAUCCUUGGUUUAAAUUUUAAAGGCAAAGUGUGGGUUGGAGAGUUAAGGAAUAUGGAUUCGCAGUAGGAGAGGUUCUAGUGCUUCUAAUGUUUGGAGAGCUAUUACCUUUCCAGGCCUUUCCUCUCUGGAAACCUUAAAUGGUUAGUUAGCAAUGGGGAACGUAUUUCAUUUUGGCAUCAUAGGUGGCUGGAGGAGUAUCCUUUAAGGUUAAGCUAUCUAGAUGUUUUCCAAAGGGUAACGGAUCAACAUGCAAAAGUAGGUGAUAUAUUCCAAGGGAGCGGUGAUAACAUUUGUGUGGAAUGUGGCCUUAACUUAUGAUCGAAUUAAUGGGACAACCUAUGACCAGUUAUGUGUUUUUUAAGAAUCUUUGGAUAAGGUCUAUGUUCUAUCAAAUCUGGAAGAUAAUUUAAUUUGAGAUUUGGAGAUCGAUGGGAUUUACUCAGUAAAAUCUUGUUACCGACUUUAAUUCCACAACAUGUGGCACUGGUCUUUGUCUCAAAUGUCUAAAGUAUGGAAGUGGCCCAUCCCACACAAAAUUUAGUUUUUCCUAUGGUUAGCCUCUCAAAACAAAAUUCUUAUUAUCGCCAAUUUGGUUAAUAGGGGUAAGAUUUUGCCUAAUGUCUGUUUGUUAUGUUAGGAAGAUGUAGAAUUUGUCUCUCAUGUGCUUCUUUAUUGUUCCUUUGCUUCUUGGAUUUGGGGCCACCUGGUCCUUAUUUUUUAGUUUCAUUUGACCAUGGCUCAAGAAGAUGUGUUACAGGUCAUCUCUGGACUGUGAAUACUGCACUUACUCAAAGUGUGCAAAGUAAUAUAUAAGAUUUUGAUAGGUGUAGUGGUAUGGGACAUUUGGAAAGAAAGGAACGGUCAUACUUUUGAAGGGGUAAGUCAAUCGAGUGAGAGAGUUAUGGAGGCUAUUUUUCAUUCAUUAUGGUUGAUCCUAGCAAUAACAAAGGAAAGAAAGGGGGUUUUAGAAAUUGAUGUAAGGCUGAAUCUUCAUAAUCUAAUGGCAAUGAAUGUCGUGAAAAAUUGGCCCAUUAGUUUUUGGUCUCCUAUGAUGCAGAGUUCUUUCAAACUUAAUUUUGAUGGUAGUUCGUUAAGGAAUCUAGUGCCUGCAAGCAUUGGGGUGUUUGUAGGGAUUGAAGAGGGAAUGUUUUGUUUAGCUAUGUUGGAUCAGCGGGGAUAGCUUUGGCCAACCACACUGAGAUGCUUGCUCUUUUGCAAGGUCUAAAAAUUGUCAAGAGCAGGAACUUGACUGGAUGAUGCUUGGUGGAAGGGGAUUCCCUAAAUACUUUCUAAUGGUAUAUGAAAGGAGACGCAUAUUCCUUGGAAAUUAGCUUUCAUUUGAUCGCAGAUCGUAGAUCUUGCUGACUUGUUGUCUAUUUCCUUUAAUCAUGUUUUUAAGGAAGCUAAUUCCUUAGCUGAUUAUUUGGCUAAGGUGGGCUCUUCUUUGCCAGCUCUUACUAUUUUUUAUGAUGUAAUACCCUUUGGGUAGUUUUAUCAAUAAAAUUUCUUAACUGAUUAAAAAAAAAUUUAAUUAGGGCUUUUUAUUUCGAGGGAAAGUAUUUUUAAAGGGAUUUUUUAGAAUGAUAUAAUUUUCUACAUGCUAAAGAGAAAAUUAUGGCUUUUUAUUCCUUAAAGAAGUCAAAUUUUCUCUUGUAACAUUUGAGGGUAUCCUUUUCAUUUCUCAUUUCAAUUAGAUAUCUUUUGAAUAAAAAAAUUAUAAAAUACCUAAAUUAUCCUCAUUCGGUAUUUGGAACACAUAAUAAUCAUGGGUAUAUUUGUAAUUUGAGCCUUAAUAUGCAUCAUUCGAAUGACAUAUAUACCCCUAUUUGUUUUCUUUUGGGCAAGUCAGUGGGGGAGAAGGUCCCCUACCCGAAAUUUUCAUUACUGGAAAAAAGAACACAUUAUUUUACAAUCCUAAAAUAGGGUAGCUGUGCCAAGUCAUGUAAUAAUAAAAGAAAAAGAUAGUAUGGCAGUCGACGAUGCCAAAUUGUUGGACUUGUAUUAGCCAAUGCCCUAUGCUCUCUUAACUAGGGCAUCCGCUGCCAUGUUCACCUUUUGAAAUACAUGAGCAAUAGACUACAUAUGGGGCAAGAGCUUUGAACGACAGUUGUCAACUAACGUUCUUAAUUUCCAUGGGACACUGCAACGAUUUUGAAUAACAUCUACUAACAUAUAUGAAUCACUUUCUAUUUGCUUCGGGAAGCAGCCCAUCUGAAUAACUAAGAGAGUACCUUCCCCAAGAGCCUAAAGUUCUGCGUAUUUAUUUGACGCAACUUCAAAGUGUUUAGCGAACUUUGUCACAAAUCCACCAUUGUUGUCUCUUAUGACCCCACCCCCUCCUGCCAAGCCAUGAUUAUGCAAGGACGCACCAUUAAUAUCUGCUUAUAACACUGAGCCUCUGGAAAUUACCAUGCGAGUGGGAUUCGAGGAUUUUGGCUUUUGUUGACUCCAGUUAAUUUGUAAAUUCUUAAUAACUGCCUUUUCUGACAAAUGGAAUGCCCAUUUUUUAACUUCUGCUAGAGCAGUGAAACAAGAGGUGACAUAGAUUGUCCUCGAUGUUUCUACAAAAUGGGCAGAUAAUAGUUAUGUGAGUACCUCACUGCUGAAAUAUGGAUGAAUUCGGUAACUAAUUAUGCAUAGCUAACCAUGAAAACCACUUAACCCAUGGAUGACAUUUCAACAACCAAAGAGCACGAAAUAAGAGUUGAGGUGAGCAUUUGUACCAAAUGAAAUUCUAUGCUGAUUUGAUUGAGAAAGUUUCAUUGGCAAUAUGAAUCCAUACCAAUUAAUCACCUUUAUGCUGCAAGGGAAGUGUAUAUUGCUCCACAUUUCCCCAUAUGCUACUCAAUAAAGUUGAAGGAGGUGAGGGCAAAUUCCAUGAUUGUGGGUCACCAACCCCUAUUUGUUUUGCAGUACAAAUAAAAAACACAAUGUUCGGCAUUAAAAAUAUCCUUAGUUGUUUUAUACUGCUAAUCAUGAACAGUGUGUUCCUUAUUUUACAUGCAUGACAGCUAGGUGUAUUUUUGUUAUCAAUACAGUUGCUCUAAGGCUUAGGCUUUAUGUGAACAAAGUAAAGCAUCACCAUGAAUCCUCGCCCAAAAAGCACUUUGGGCAUAAAAAAUCUUCAUGAUGGUUCAAAAUCAAUGUUCAACACCGACUAUGAAAUUUAAAGCUAAAAAAAGAUACAAAUCUUUCAUAUCCAUGAAUACUCAUUUUUAGGGCAAAAUGAAUGAUAUGGAUAAUGUUUUAUAAUAUAAAUUAUAUUUGGGGUUGAAAUCCUAAUUUUUUUUCAUAACCAUAAUGGUCAAAGCUGAGAUGAUCAAUUCAAAGAUUUUUUUAUGCUAGAAAUGCAAUUUUCAGUGAGUUUUGUGGUGAGGUGUUACUUGUUUUAAUAGAGUAGAAGCCCUAUCAAAAUAUUCAACCUUAUCAAAACAUAUUCAUUUUGUUAUUCAGUUGAUAACUCUUUAGGGUCAAAUUAUUUAAAUGCCCCUCAUUGUUCAUCAUUCUAAAUAUUAGACAAGGACAAUUCAAGUAUUUAAAAAAAAUAAAGAGAUAUCUAAGUGAACUAAAAAAAAUACACCAUCGGAUGUCAAUAGGAAUAAUUUGACCAUUUAAAUAAUUUUUUAAAGCAUUCUUUGCCCGUGAAUGACACUCUCACUUAUUUCAAAAGACAUGGAUAUUAGGGAUUGUAUACUAGGAUAUCAUUUACCAUUGUUAUAAAGAAGUCACAAUCACUCUUAGCUAUUAGAUGUCAAAUUGGAUGGCUUCUUGGGAUGUGUCACGAAGUUCGAGAUUUUUUUUUGAAACAUUAAGUCUAGUCAGUAACACGCUUACAACCAUUUAAUUCAAAAUCUGAUUGACAAGAGUGAUUGUGACCUCUUUAUAUUAAUAGUAACGAGUGUGGUUUGUAUAAGGCUGAGGCCCUAAUAAAUCAAAGUAAGGUGCACUUCAAAUAGUGCGUAAACAUGUUCUUCAAGUAACAAAAAUCUUUAUGAUGUCCUGAAAGUUAUUUUCAUCUCUAAUUAUAAAAUUUAAAAAAUAUCAUAGAUUGAACAUAUGUUAGAUCACUUGAAAAUCUUGGAAAUUCAUCAUCGUCAACAAAGCCUUUAUGGUCACCAUUCUACUCUAUUAAAGGUCAUACCCUUUGUGAGGUCAUAAAUCUCAAUAUAUUUUUGGACUACUUCUAACCACGUCCUUUUGAGUCUAUCACUUGCCCUUUUCGAGUCUUCUACUUGAACUAACUCACACUUCCUAACAUAUGUUAUAUUAGGUCUACUCCACACAUAGUUAGUCCAUCUAAGUCUAUUUUCUCUCAUCUAAUCGUCUAUUGAUGCCACACCUAAAUUUUUUCAAAUGGGCUCAUUUCGAACUAUAUCAGUUCUUGUCUUGCCACUCAUCCAUCUCAACAUCAUCUCUGCUAUACUCAUUCUAUCGUAUAUUAAUUUUUGUCCGCCCUACAUUUUGCCCUAUAAAACAAAUUUGGUCUCACAACGGUCUUAUAAAACUUGCUCUUUAGCUUCAUUGGUGAAAAUCUUCAAAAUUUACAGUCUAAGUAAUAUAUUAAAGGUUUUUGCAAAAUUUAAAAUCUUAUUCUUCUUUUCAUGCCUGAAAUAAUCAAAUUAAGAGCUUUUUUUAGCUCCAAAACAACCUUUUCAAAAAAAAAUUAAUGACACCUUAUUUUGAUCCUUUAAUGUCUCACUAUUAUAUAAAGUCUUUGAACAAGUAAAUAUUGUCUGUGAUCUUUUUUUAUUAGAAUCACGUUUUAUUCACUUAAACCACCCUGACAUAGAGACAUGGAGCUCUGUCCACCUAACAUGAUGAGGUACUGGUUGCUGAGGCAGCAAAAGACAAAAAGAGAAAGCAAUAGGAAGAGAGGGGUAGCGAGAGAGCAUUUCUAAAAAAAAAAGAAAAUUGGUUUGUUAGGGCUGCAGCCUUAUUAAAGUAAGUAAAGUUUCAUCUUAUAUAACUCAUCGAAAUUUGUAGUUUUAAGUAUUGUAAAACCUUUAUAUCGACUAUCUCGAUAAGAUCUAUGCUAUUUUUUUAAUCUCAUUUUAUUAUCAAUGUUGGAAAUUGAGUCGAAAGUUUUUCAAAUGAAGAUUUGUAGUGAAGCAUUAUUUUUUGUUUUAAUAGAAUUUAAACUUCAUUGAUUAAAAAUUAAUAGAAUUUAAACUUCAUUGAUUAAAAAAAAAGGUUGGGAGAAAAUAGAGAGAGUAUGAGGAGUUGUAGACACAGUUGCAACCCUUCCAUCCCCAUAUGGCCAAAUUACCCUUUCCAUAUAACACUCAUUCCCAGGUGUUCUCUUCCCAUAUAUCACCUCAAUUAGGUAUUUUUCUCACCACCCAAACGACACGUGUAACACAGGUCUACGCACACGUGUUUUACCUUCAAAUCUCAGCCACACACGUCACAUCAAAGACCACAGCAUCUUCAACACGUGCCCUACCAAAAGCGUGCCUAACUCGUUCUCUUUUCUAAAGGGUCCUAAAUAUAUUAAAUGGCCGGAUGGCACCCUGCCACGUAAACUCCCACGUGGCAGAUGGUGGUUUGGGAUCGGAAGAAGUCAAAGGAAAUGAUAUGACUUGUUGUCCACAUCAUCAUCGAAUCAUCACGCGUAUACCACCGUUCCGGAAACGGAAACCCAGGUCAAAACAAAACCUUUGAAAAAAAAUAAAAAUAAAAAUAAAGGGCAUUGAUCCUUUUGUUUAGUUAAAUAUAUAUUAAAUUAAUUUAAAAAUGGGAAGGAUUUCUUUGUUUCAUUUCAGGUGAGAAGUGAAAAGAACAAGAAGGGAAAUUACAGACACACCCCUUGGAUUGUUUAGGAAAUUUCUGCUAUUUUAUUAUUGGGUGCGGUUUGUAUAGAGCCGAGGUUUUAAAUAAUCAAAUUAGAGUCUAAUUUUAAAUAUUGUCGAAAAAUGUGAUUUUAAUGUUGAAAAUUUUUAUGAUAGCCUUAAAAAAUAUUUUUAUAUUUAAUUAUGAAUUUCAAAAAUAGUGUAGAUCGAACAAAUCUAUAAAAUCUUGAAAAUCGACAGUCCAAAAAUAUGUAUUAUUUCUAAAACUGGAAAUCUAGUUUUUUCUUAUAUCCAUGCAUCUUGAUGUCGAGAUGAUCAAUUUAAAGAUAUUUGAGCAUCAAAACAACCUCUUCUAAUGAAAUUUUUGAAACGGGCUCGAAUUUGAUCGUUUAAAGCCUCGACCCUAUAUAAACUUUUUUCUUUAUUAAAAAUAAAUUUAUUUUAAAAUUUAUAAUCAAUAUUUAUUUUAUUUUUAAAUAUUAAACUCAAACUUAAUUUGUCCAUAUUUCUCAACAUCACAACCCACUGUAAAUUAUACCCACUGCAAAUUAUUUAACAAAUAAUUUAAAAAUAAUUAAUGAAAUACUUUAUUGACCACCAUGCGGUUUACACCACAUUUUUUAUUAUUUCUUUUGAUUUUGAGGAUUUUUUUUUGUUUUUGUUUUGAGAAUUUCAGUUGGAGGGGAGUUGCAACCAUAGACGAGGUAGAAAAUCUUGACUGAAAAGCAUGCUACGACCGCUUGAGAAGACUAGAAGAAAAGAAAUCUUCACCCAGCGAAAGAGAUGUUUAAAUCUCCCUUGUACUGCCCAUAUUUUUGCUCCACUCUAAAAUUUUUGGAAUCUCUCAAGAAACGGAAAAACACUCCCUCUAAACGCACACCCAAAAAAAAAAAAUUUCAUUUUAUGUCGAUGGGCCACA